CAUCAAUCAUCGCAUACCGCGGCUACUGAGAGUUGCUUGAGACAGACUGGUGUGACACCUCGUUUGGAAGUAUGAAUUAAACUUUUGAUACAGUAAUUUGCAGUCUCUCUCUCUCUCUCUCUCUCUCUCUCUCUCUCUCUCUCUCUCUCUCUCUCUCUCUCUCUCUCUCCAUACACGCCAAUAUUAUGUAUGUAAAGUACAUGUAUGUUAUCUGUUGUACGUACGUGUCCCAAAUGUUUCGUAAUACAUCUACUUAAGUAUACAGGUGCACUUUUAUGACGUUUUAAAUGUUCAAUUUUGAUCAAUGAAUCGUGUUUGUUUUUAAACUACGCUCCAUGCAACCUAUUUGUUUGUAUUGUAAAAAUCGAGAUUGCACAACUCAAAAAAACAUUUUGUAAAUUUCAUUCAUAAAUUAUGUUUAUGUAUGCUUAUUCAGCUAGUUUCGUAUGACGUUCAUUUUAUAUAAGGAUGAAUAAAGAAUUAAAAAAAUAAGAUCUGGCAAAUUUCCUUGUGACAUUUAUAUUGACAUUGUAUACGUAUCUGGCCUUUAGGUUGUUUAUAGAGGCAUGUAAGACUGUAAGAUACUCUAUACGUAACACACAUAAGCAAACGUUUCUAGUCCAGGUGAUAAAACUAUUUAUCAAACAUGGCGACCGAGGACGGCCAGAUAGAAAUCAUCGCUGGGACAGACGACAGAACUCUCGUACCCAUUCCAUGUGGGGACCGGAAGUACAUGAAUGUGCUGGAGAGGGAUUUUUUGAACUGUUUCUUUACUUCAGUUUUGUUAUACGUCAAUCCUUUGACUCUUCUUCGCCGUCUCUGUGAAAAAGACCAUGUUUCCAAGGAGUGUUUGGAGUUAGUCGAAGCAAAACAGGAAAAAUCCCCUUUUCAGUUUUCGUAUGAGAUCUUGGCAAACGAAGUUGCGAAACGCACUCUUUGAGGAGUUUUGUGUUUGCAUUGUAUUCUCUUCAAUAUACGCAGUUAGCAAAUGAUUUAAUCGGGUUCUACAAAGAGUACACUCGAACGAAACGUGUACAAGAAGUAGUACGUGCUACAGUCGGUGAUAGGAGAGCCAUACAGCAAUACUUUAAAUUCAUCAAAAAGCAAGUUCACGAAUUCACGUUCAAAAACCCUCAAGCCGAUUUGUCCGUCAUCGGUGCACGGAUAAGACAACGUAUAGAGCUGGAAAAGAACGAUGGCAGACGACAAAACAUGUAUGACCGGUACAUUGCUCUGAAAGCUGCAGAAAUUGAUGCCCUGACCAACAGAACAGACGACAUCGAUCCUUAUGGAGGGGCUUUCUCAGACAUCGAGGAGGUUCUGGAUAGGAGCAGCAAUCCUGGUAUAUCCCGAGUCCUGCUAUAUGGACGGAAAGCUGACGUAUUGUCUUCGCUCGGGAGGCAAGAAGAAGGACGAUGCAUGCUGAAAGAGGGGUUCACGUACGCAAAUGCAACAGAUACAUGCAUCGAAUCGGUUGACAUGGUGUAUAAGAGUGUUGUUUUUCGCCUUUCUGAACUUGAAAAAGACCCGUCCAAUUUGCUUCUAAAGGAACAAUUGUUAGCGGAGGCAAGCCGGGGCCUUCAUGAACUCAACGAGGAAAAUGAGGAUGUAAAAACAUUCUGGAAGAGGCUCUUUGUGUUGAGAAUGAUCUAUUGUCAUCUAGGUAUCGGAAAACGCUGCAGAAUCUUUCCAAAUUUUGAAAUCUCCAAACAAUCUUUGAUGGAGGCUGAAAGACUGCUUUCUCUAGAUUCUCUUGAGGAUUUGGAACAUCGCCGCCAAAUGAUGUAUGGUGUUGCCAGAGCUCGUCUGCGGGAGCUUCAAGGAGAUCUGUCGUCUGCUGUGGAGACGCUAUCUCGAGUGCUGGAAAUUGCCAAAGAGGGAAAGUACACGGAAAUGCCUAUGAUUAGUGAUUAUCUAUCAUGUCUUUAUCAAAAACAUCAACAAAUUUAAAAACAUUAAGAUAUACAUGUGGACAUAAAAAAAUAUUUCGUCUUGUUCUUUUAAAACUAUGUUGUUUGUCUCACUUUGGUCAUUAAUACAUUUAGAAAACGCU
rnacentral:misc_RNA from 1 species